UACGUGGCGAGUUUCUACCUUAUGACACAUCUGGUUGAAGUCAUAGUGGCAUUAACACAGGGCUAAACAGAACACCCAUCUAAAGUUUGCAGUUUUAGAUCACUGGUUCAAAGAAAACCGAACACCUGCUUUGUAUUGCAUGCAGUGUGAACCGUAUCUGCAUCUCUGCAGUCGACAAGCUGUCAAACAGUCUGGAUUAAUGACUUCCAAAUGCAAGCAACCUGUAAGACAGACGGGUAACAUCAAUGAUUUGAACAGAAGUGACAGUCCAGAGAAUACCACCUUACACGCUUCACUGGAGAGAGAGAGGGAGCAGACAUCGAGGAGAGGAAGAGUCAGUAUCCUCUUCCAUGCUUGAAAUCAGUCACCACAGCUGUGUCUAGGACACUGUUACACCUGUUGACCGGCGAAUGAACUCGACCAAGUGUUGCCAUCAUUGCCAUAGUGACCACCCAGCGCUGCCCCUGGCGUGCAGAAUUUCACCACAGAAACUUGACUUACCAGGAAACAGACAGAAAAGCGGACAUCGAAGAUCUAUAUUUGUUCAGGAAGUGGUAACGGCUGCUUUGCUUGCAUCUUUUUAAAUGGUAUGGACGGUGGCAGGAUGCUGAGUGUUUGUUUAACUGUGUGAUCAGUCACAUUUUACAAAGUAUGUGAUUGUAAUCUCCAACUGUGAGGAGACUCAUCUGAAUUUGCUCGGUUAGCUAUGAUAUAUAAUAAAAGCAAUCCAAAAGAGGACAUUUUUCUCCCUCCAACAUGAAUCGUAAUAUUGAUCUGCAUGCUUGUUAGUGGUGAGCUGAAGGGUUUCAAUGACAAUCAUUUGGUCCAUCUGUCUGUCCUCCCAUCUGUGCAAAAACCAAAAGACUACCAGGCAGACGGCCAUGUAAUACAGUACACACCGUGUUUAUUGUUUCCAAAGGAUUAUUCUCAAUGAUUUUGUUGACCUGCUGACCUUUCAUCUGUCCUGAUCAGUUCUUUGGUAGAUGGUCAGCUAUCUCAGAAACAUAAGACUCAGUAAUCAACACUUUUACAGUGGAUAGUCAUUGAUCC
ensembl:lncRNA